UUUUUUUGUGGUCUCCUGAAAAUAAUAUAAUUAUAACCACAUGGGGUCUGUUUAGGCACCUCAUUCUGGAGAAGACAAAUUAAGUAGUCUCUUACUAACAAAAAGGAAAAAGGAAAAAUCUACAUUUGCAUUUACAGAGGAAAAAACAAAAUUGAGGGCGGGGUAAAAGAAGGCAUACCAGGUAUGGUGUUAUGAAGAAAAUGGGCAAAGAAACUGGAGCCAAAGCAUGGUUGAAUACUGAAGAGCUGAGCAUGAGUGAAGCCCAGAUUGAACCACAAAUCUUGGCUUUUGCCUUAUGGUGGAAACACGCACAUAGACAAGGGAAAGUGGAGUGGAUAGCAUUGCAAUUUGCAGCGCCAACUCAAGUGCAUGGGCAGCAAUGACUUUUUUGGAAAGCUUUCGGUAAUUGAGUUCACACUUUCUUGGUGGGCAUGCUUGGGGUAAAUUGACAAGAAUGUGAAGUCGAGCACAGCCAGGGCAGUGAGCACAGAGAUGUGAGCUCCUGUCCUGAUGUCAACUUUCUUCCUGUAAUCAUAGCAUUUCCAUGAUUCGUUCGCCGUCCAAAGAAUUGAUAGGAGCUUGCAGCAUCUUCAACUUAAAGGGUUUCGUUGGAAACUUUCUAUGGCACAUUACUAAUUGUCCUGGAGAUUUCCUAGCCUUCCCCAUACAUGGAACUACGAAAGGUGUAUUAUGAAAACUUGUUUUUCUGCAUAUUCUUCAGAUGAACACCAUUGAUGAAAACACUCUUCCAACCUUUCGUUUCAAUUUGGUAUUCUCGAAGAGCAGAUAGAGAAUACAUUUUGAAUUCAUUCAUCAAGAACAGUCAUCAUACAGACAAGCAUGGAAACAGCGGCCGUCCCAACCUGAGGCAUUUAUCACUACAUCUCUAACUGGCAUCGACUCUCGGGUUAAACAAACUAUUAAAGGCUAGCCACCAAAUGGAAACAAAUUGGAGGAAGAAAUGCUCCUGAUAUAUCCCCUAGUAUCUCAUCUAUUCUCAAAUUGCUUGAUUAAUUCAUCCAGAAGUAGCAACAUACAUGGUGACUAUAUUACAAAGAAGAAGAGAAACCAAAAUCCCCCAUAACAAUUCACCAAUCAAUUUUCACAUCCGCGGUAUCUUAUACAACCCUACAUGAAAAUACAUGGGGGUAAUUAUUGGAAGUCCUGCCAAGGCACUGGUAUGUUCAGUCUUGAUUGUCCCAUUUCCACCUUCGUCCAACCUCCUCCAGAACUCUAGCUCGGGCUUGGCUUUUCCUUGCCUCAUCUUCUACCCAAGAUCUGCACUAAUUGCUUCCAGUCAUUAGAAAAGGAGAACCGUGAACAUAUCAUAAAAUUAACAGAAAGGGAGAUUACCAAACACGGGAAAAGAAAAAAAAAGGUUUAUUCAGUGCAAAAUUAUGCCAUCACAAAAAAUAGAAUAAUUUGGAAUAGCAUGAUUUCUUAGACGAUCUUCAUUGAAUAUAGCAUCAGAUCCAAGAUGAAAACAGGUAUCAGUUAAGGUUAGCAACUGAUUAUUGUUUGAAAUAGUAGAAAAUACAUCAUGUUUAUCAAUAGAUUUCUUAGACAUCCACUUCCAGCUCUGCAUGCCAUGAUGGAAAGCAGACUUCCAAUUCAUCACAGAUGCCAUUACUUCUCAUACUGACAGAGCAAAUUCCAAGUUGAAAACAACCAAAUCAGUGGUGAAUAAUGAUAGCAUUGAUUAUAUCCUCUAGUAGAAGAAUUAGUUCUGUGUUAAAAAGAGAAGCUAUAAAUCCAGAACAGCUUCAGAAAAUUAUUACAACAACAGCCAUACAGCAAAUGAGUAUAAAGACAAUCAAGAUGAAGACUGAAUUGUAGUACUUACCUGAGGAUUCGAAGAGCUUCAAUUUCAGCUUCCAGUAUAGAUUUUGUAUCAAGCAUCACUUCCUGCUUAAACUGUAAUUUACUAAGCAAUUCCUGCAGAUUACACUGCUCAGCUACAUACACAGACCUCUCAGAUGCAAGCCUUUCUGACAUCUCAUCAACCUCUUCCUUCAGAUGGAGCAGCAGUUGCCUCUGACAAUCCAUAGCUGCCUUCUCCUUCAAAUACUCUUCGUAAGUUUUCACCUGUACAAUUUUCUCCUCUUCCAAAUCAUGUAAAGCGGCAAUAUAAAGCUUCUCAACCUCAAAACCUCGGAUUUUUUCUUCAUUCAUCUUCUCAUCCCAAAACCCUUUUAUAUCUCCUCUCUCAAGAAAUUCAUUACUAAUUUCUUUCACUGCAGCUUGCCUUAAAGACUUCUCUGCUUCCAGCCUCAAUAUUUCAUUGUAAACUGCUUCAGACAUCCUGCCACUUAUCAGAGCAACUGCUGCUUGUGCCUUUGUUAAAGGUUUAUUUGGUUGAAACCGCCUGCUCUGUCC